rnacentral:lncRNA from 1 species
GGGGGUGGCACCUCUGCUAGCCAGAGGAUGCGAAGGGCUGGGCUGCGCUGGUGCCAGGUACGCAGGGCCACUCGAGCAGAAGGACAGUCUAGUGACACGGCAGCUUGAGCCAGUGUUGACAGUAGUAACGCAGCCCCUCCACGCGCUUUCCCACGGCCACGCCCCUCGCCGUGGCCAACUUCCCAGAGCCCGACCUCCGACACGCGCUCUGCGCGCCCUCGGCGCCAGGGGAGCCGGCGGUGAGCGCGACCGGAGGGUCCCCCCGCCCGGAGCCUGGGGACAGGCAUCCUCGGGCGACCAUUAGGUCACCAGCCGCGCCGCGAGCCCCGUCCGAGUCCGAGCAGCAGCGUCCCCUGGUUCGGCCGCGUCAGGGACGCUCCCGACCUCUGCGCAGCUCGGCGGCAGGAGUGUAUGUGUUCCAUCAGGAAGGAAUCCACCCAUGGAGCCUGGCUCACCUGGCCAUGUUAAUAGCUGUUCUCUUUAAUGCACCAAGAAGCAUUUGCAGACCAUGUGGCCUUGGCUCCUCUGGACAGCCUUUAGAGGAUGUAAAACCAGCUGAAAGACAAAGCAAGGCCUCCCUGCA